GGGGCUGUGGCACACUGGUAGAACAUCUGCUUGGCAUGUGGAUGUUUCCAGAUUCAAUUCCUGGCAACCCCA
rnacentral:tRNA from 1 species